rnacentral:rRNA from 1 species
UACGUAGGGUGCGAGCGUUGUCCGGAAUUAUUGGGCGUAAAGGGCGCGUAGGCGGCCCUGUAAGUCAAAGGUGAAAUCCCUCGGCUCAACUGAGGAACUGCCUUUGAAACUGCAGGGCUUGAGGCCGGGAGGGGGUAGCGGAAUUCCCAAUGUAGCGGUGAAAUGCGUAGAUAUUGGGAGGAACACCAGUGGCGAAGGCGGCUACCUGGACCGGUUCUGACGCUGAGGCGCGAAAGCGUGGGUAGCAAACAGG